UACGAGGGGGGCGAGCGUUGUUCGGAAUUAUUGGGCGUAAAGGGCUCGUAGGCGGUCCAUCGCGUCGGGAGUGAAAAGCUGGGGCUCAACCCCAGUCCUGCUUCCGAUACGGGUGGACUAGAGGUAGGCAGGGGAGAACGGAAUUCCUGGUGUAGCGGUGAAAUGCGCAGAUAUCAGGAAGAACACCCGUGGCUAAGGCGGCUCUCUAGUACGGUACUGACGCUGAGACGCGAAAGCGUGGGGAGCGAACAGG
rnacentral:rRNA from 1 species